rnacentral:rRNA from 1 species
AGAGCGAACGCUGGCGGCAUGCUUAACACAUGCAAGUCGCACGACGGUUUCGGCCGUAGUGGCGGACGGGUGAGUAACGCGUAGGUAUCUAUCCUUGGGUGGGGGAUAACCGUGGGAAACUGCGGCUAAUACCGCAUGACACCUGUGGGUCAAAGGCGCAAGUCGCCUGGGGAGGAGCCUGCGUACGAUUAGCUAGUUGGUGGGGUAAAGGCCUACCAAGGCUACGAUCGUUAGCUGGUCUGAGAGGAUGAUCAGCCACAUUGGGACUGAGACACGGCCCAAACUCCUACGGGAGGCAGCAGUGGGGAAUAUUGGACAAUGGGCGCAAGCCUGAUCCAGCAAUGCCGCGUGGGUGAAGAAGGUUUUCGGAUUGUAAAGCCCUUUCGGCGGGGACGAUGAUGACGGUACCCGCAGAAGAAGCCCCGGCUAACUUCGUGCCAGCAGCCGC